CGACGGUGGCUUGCCAGAACAACCCCCUUUAGCUCCAGUCACAUGGAUCACAGGUUGACCUCGAAUCAGGUAGGAAUACCCGC
rnacentral:rRNA from 1 species